UGAGUAACCUGCCCUUCACUCUGGGAUAACUCCGGGAAACCGGGGCUAAUACUGGAUAUGACUCGAACAGGCAUCUGUUUCGGGUGGAAAGAUUUAUUGGGUGGAGGAUGGACUCGCGGCCUAUCAGCUUGUUGGUGAGGUAAUGGCUCACCAAGGCGACGACGGGUAGCCGGCUGGAGAGGGCGAUCGGCCACACUGGGACUGAGACACGGCCCAGACCUCCGUACGGGGAGCA
rnacentral:rRNA from 1 species